AUUAACGCUAGCGGCAGGCAUAAUACAUGCAAGUUGAACGGCAGCACAGGUAGCAAUACUGGGUGGCGAGUGGCGCACGGGUGCGUAACACGUAUGCAACCUACCCUAUACAGGCGAAUAACCUUUAGAAAUGAGGGCUAAUACGCCGUAGUAUUACAGAUGGGCAUCUAUUUGUAAUUAAAGAUUUAUCGGUAUAGGAUGGGCAUGCGUCCCAUUAGUUAGUUGGUAAGGUAACGGCUUACCGAGACGAUGAUGGGUAGGGG
rnacentral:rRNA from 1 species